GAUGUGUGAUCAGACAGCUGAUCGGACGAUGCAUGUGUUUGUCUUUAACCAGUGGAUUGUAUAUGUGUGCGCUGCGCGCUCCCGACCGGCCGCCCGCGCGUGUCAUUGAGUUGAGAUCUGCAAGGUGUCUCGCGCAGCAUUGCGGUGCAGAAGUUGUGUGGGAUAGUCUUCAUUCAUCAGCGUCUGUGAUCGGGACAUCAGUGCUGUUGGAUCGCUUCACUCAUCGUGACGGAACACCUGAAUCAUACGGACAUGUAAUGUGGUGGAUGUACUGAAGAGGUUUAUACCCUCAUUAACCAGCACAGGGAUGUUUCUGCUUUAAAAUCACCUCUUACGACGAGAUGGGACUGGGACAAUCCAGCAGAACAUCAGUCAAUGAUGAGACGGCAGAGGUCAACUUUGACCACUUUCAGAUCCUGAGGGCCAUUGGUAAAGGCAGUUUUGGGAAGGUAUGCAUUGUUCAGAAGAAGGACACCAAGAAGAUGUAUGCCAUGAAGUACAUGAACAAACUGAAGUGUGUCAAGCGCAACGAAGUGCGUAAUGUUUUCAAAGAGCUUCAGAUUAUGCAGAACCUUGAACAUCCUUUCCUGGUGAACUUCUGGUACUCGUUUCAGGAUGAAGAAGACAUGUUCAUGGUGGUUGAUCUUCUGUUGGGUGGAGAUCUGCGGUAUCACCUGCAACAGAACGUGCACUUCACAGAGAAAACAGUCAGACACUACGUGUGUGAAAUCUCCCUCGCUCUGCACUACUUACGCAACAAACGCAUCAUCCACAGAGAUAUUAAACCAGACAACAUUUUACUGGAUGAACAUGGUCAUGCUCACUUGACAGAUUUUAAUAUAGCUGCUAUCGUGAAGGAUGACUUAAAAGCCACAUCUAUUGCAGGGACAAAACCGUACAUGGCCCCAGAACUGUUUCAGUCGAUUGAGGGAACACAUCCAGGUUACUCAUUCGCAGUGGACUGGUGGUCCUUAGGAAUAACUGCAUAUGAGCUAAUCCGGGGACAGAGACCCUACAUCAUGGGUGCUAACACGCCAGCCAAUGAAAUCCUGCAAACCUUCCAAAAGAUUCAGCCAUGUUACCCUGUGGCCUGGUCGCCGGGGAUGAAAUCUCUCUUAAUGAAGCUGUUGUGUGUAGAUGCUCAGCAGAGGACUUCCAGCCUGUCAGAGCUUCAGGAUGUGGAAUAUCUGUCUGAAGUCAACUGGGAUGCUGUGCUAAACAAACAGAUCCCACCCGGCUUCCUCCCUAAUAGACGGAGACUGAACUGUGACCCCACGUUUGAGUUGGAGGAGAUGAUCCUGGAAUCCAAACCAUUACAUAAGAAAAAGAAGAGACUGGCGAGAAAGACGAGAGAGAAUGGCUCUGAUGGAUCUCCUCAGUUGAAGCCUCUGGAACAAGUUACAAACUAAAAAAUGUCUCAGAAGGAUUACGCCGUCUGCGACUUUUUAGAUUUUGAAGACUAUAUCCUCCCUCCAUCUCCUCUCAACAUGAGACGCAGUACUUGGAUCCAGUACCGCGACUCUCCAAGGGCCCAGCGAUCUUCAGAUGGCAUUGCCAGUUCUCUCUAGGCCCCCAGUAUUCCUGUCAACCCAGGACUUGCCAGGGAAAAUAGCUCCUCCUGGCUCAAAAUACUCUGAGUAACCCCCCGUUAAUACGGACGGAAUAAUGACAACUCCAGCGUCGACAACCCAAACAAAACAAUCAGGCAGGAACAGGAUCACCAAGUCUUCUUCAACAUGGCCCGCUAAAAGAUCCACACAGCCCACACGUAUUUCAUCUCCUCCUCUCCCCAAACACGGUGAUGUUAAAACUCAGCUCAUCUAAGUCAUCCAAAAACGUUCAAAAGACUAGAAUAAAAAAUGACAGAUUUGAAAAUUGAAAAUUGAAAAUACUCCUCUAGACGAGCUAAGGAUCCCAACUUAUUCUCCCUCCUCCCCCAGGUACAAGAGACCAUUCAUACAUACUGUAAUAGAGGAGGCGGGGCGAGACCGUGGUUCGAGUCCGGUGAGUAAUUGUGAAUUAGCGCCAGCUGUGCGCACACCGGGCUCGCAUCACGUAGGAGAUAGAGAGCAUAUAAAAGGAGCGAGCGCCCAGACAGUCGAAGAGAGAGGACCGGGCCCGAAUUUGUGUUAUGUUUGUAUUUAUGUUUAUGUUUUGUUCGCCGGCGGUCGUCCAUGAGGGGCCGCCGGCUGUUAUAUUACUUUAUUAAAUGUUUAAAUGUUUGCCGGUUCCCGCCUCCUUCCUUCCCUUUUAUGAAGAUUUAUUACACAUACCUUUGACAUUUUCUGCAGCACCGCAUAGACCUACAAUUCAGACACCAUUUCAAGAUGCUCCCACUCCACUCACCACUUCUCUUUUCAACCUCUCCACUGCCUUCGCCUGCAGCCGGUACGAAAAUGGUAGACUGUGUCUGUUUUCUUUAAUACAUCGAAUCCGAGAUUGCAACGUCAUUUUUAAUUUGCCAAAUUUCUCUAUUGCUUUAAGCACCUACAGAGACAUUCUGUGCCAAGUUUUUCCAGAUCGCAGAGAAGAAUAAGAUCUCUGCUUAGCCAUGAUGGCAGACUUUAACAAACGUUAAGGAGGUACACUAUUUUAUGAAUAUCAUAAAUCACUCUCAGCAAAAUCUGCAUCUCUCAUUACUCUAUUAAACUCCAUUUCUGCGGUCAAAAGAUCUUGACUUGCAUCUUCUGCAGCAUCACAGGCAUUCGGCAUCGUUCUGCCCUAAAGCAAUUGAUAGCAAAGUUCCGCCCACUGUCCACGGUGGUGAAAAUGUAAGACCGUAUUUCUAUGUCAGAGGUCGCCCUUUUAAGGAUUUCAAUCAUCAAUCAGUUUGUUCUUUCCCUCACUUUAAAUUUGCUGAUGUCUGUAGCUUUUGCAUGGACCGGCACCCGAAACUGGUCUGCCCACGACGUUACAGGCCUACAACCCAAGAAAAGUCCCCUACUUAAACCCUAAAUUCUGAUUACACACCCAUCUACACCCAUUAACUUUCCCGUGAUCUGAAGCUAUCUUUCUUCUCACCCGGAUCCGUGUUUCCUGGAUUAUUUAAUCACUGGUAUGUCUCAAGGGUCCUUUCCUAUCUCAUUACCUCUUUUGUUGCAAUCAGCCUUAUAAGAGCCAGAAGUAGUAUCAGUCUUGCUGAAAAAUAAGUAAAUAAAGGACACGAAAUUGGCCCCUUCGCUUCUCUUCCUUUUUCUCCUUUUUCUCCUUUUACUCCUUUUCGUGUCAAUAAGCUUUGUUUUGUUUUUGUAAAUACUCCUCCAAAAAAUGCCUCAUAUUUGACACGUCCUCUCCUCACUCUAAGACUACAGCAAGAGUUAACAAAAUAUCCCUUUAGACCCUUUUUCCCUGCUUUAUGCCUCUGUAGAUAACGCUAUUCAGUUAAUUAAGUUAGCCGGCCAAGGAGCCUGGCAGAGCUAAUGCAGACAUUACCGACGCUUUCAAGACUAUACUGCUUCACACUUCAGAGUGGCCUCUUUUCGAUGUUAAAUGGAAUUGCCAAUUUCAUUUCACUGUGAGGCUCACGUUCAUCUGCAGAAGCAGCUCGCACAUUUUCAAUUGCCUUUCGGAUUGGGGCAGCCACUACUGCAGCAGAAUGUGAGGUUUCAAGGGAAGCUAUCAAGUUGAUGGACAGAUGAUCUUUCUCAGCAUUUGAAUCUUACAUAAGACCUGACUCCAUAAUCAUCAUCGACGACCAGCAAGCUCUAUCAAGUCUCAAUCAAGGUAUUUCCUUUUUCAUUCAUAUACUGGUGGUGGCGUCUCGCUUCUCAUUCAUUAGUCUUUGAUCAUGUUCCCAAAUGUUAGGCCUACCGAGGCCUUUGUCUUCAUGUUGCGGCCUAUGGAGGCCUGUGUCUCAAUGUUGUGGCAUAUCGAGACCUUUGUCUCCAUGUCAUGGCCUGCCGAGGCCUUUGUCUUCCUGUUGCUGCUUAUUGAGGCCUCUGUCUUAAUGUCGUGGUCAAUCUAGGCUUUCUUAUAGCUCAGUGGUAAGAGCAUAUCGUUAACAACGCAAGGUUGUGGGUUCGAUCCCAGGGGAUUGCAAAUACCUAUGUAAAAUGUAUAGGAAAAAGCAAUGUAAGUUGCUUUGGAUAAAGGCAUCUGCCAAAUGCCUAAAUGUAAAUGUAAAUGUAACGUCUUAAUGUUACAGCCUAUCGAGGCCUCUGACUCAAUGUUGUGGCCUAUUGAGACCUCUUUCAUUACGCAGUGGCCUAUCGAGGCCCUGUCUCAAUUUCUUGACCUAUCGAGGCCUUUGUCCCAAUGUUGUGACCUAUCAAGGCCUUUGUCUCAAUGUCAUGGCCUAUAAAGGCUCUCAUCUCAUGUCAGGGCCUAUCGAGGACUGUGCCUCAAAAUAGUGGCCUAUCGAGGCCCAGUCUCAAUGUCAAGGCCUGUCGUGGCCUAUCGAGGCCUUUGUCUCAAUGUCAUGGCCUUUCGAGGCCCCCGUCUCAAUGUUGUGGCCUAUCAAGGCCUCCGUCUCGUGUUGUGGCAUAUCGAGGCUUUUGUCUCAGUAUUGUGACCCAUCGAGGCCCUGUCUUAAUGUUGUGGCCUAUCGAGGCCUCUGUCUCGAUGUCGUGGCCUAUCAAGGCCUUCGUCUAAAUGUUGUGGCCUAUAGAGGCCCUUGUCUCAAUGUUGUGGCCUAUCGAGCCCCCAGUAUUAAUGUUGUGGCCUAUCGAGGCUUUUGUCAAAAUGUUGUGGCCUAUCGAGGCCUUUCAUAGUUAUUAUCCCCACGGGAUAUCCGAAUAGUCCUAGUAACCAUACCACCCUUUAUGGAUUUUUGCUCCCUCACAGCCUCUCACUUCCACAAAUUUCUUCCACACAAUAAAUAUUUACUAGUGUAUCACGAUAUUACAAAGCUUCACUAACGGCUCGGUGGAUUUUACAAUUAUGUCUUACUAACAAUUUUAUUCUUAAUCUCGUUAUUCAGGAACAACAAGAAACUUCAACCGGUGGGUAGAAAUUUCUUCCUUCAAUUCUUUGGGGGUAGGCCCAGCUCCUGAGGCAAAGUACUCUACAAUUCUCAGGGGUUGUCUGCACCCCUACCUUCAUCUUCUGGCAGGAAGUGCAGGUAUUCUCGACCCUCUGGAUGGGAGCUAUGGACCGGGCCUACACCAAAGAACCAUAUAUUUUACCAUAUUCGCACCCUCUCGCUGAUCAGUUGUUUAAAUAGAUGUUCAUUGUCACGUCUUGCCUCCCGAGUCUUUCUGGUAGAAAUGUAAGGUUUAGCGCAAGUUCUGCCGGGAAGACUCAUUAUCACGUCACCUACUACGUAUAGACCUAACCAAUUACCAUCUAACCAACGAUCAUCCAACACUUGUAGUAUAUAAGAUCGCCACUUACUCUCUGUUUGCGUUCGCAGUUGAAGCCUCUGGAUUUUACCCCCAUCCUCCCCACCACCACCAGGUUGGCCCCGUCUAUUAACACCAGAGGGGUUGGCUGCGCCCCUGCCUUCAUCUUCAGGCAGGAAGUGCAGGAAUUCUCGAUUCUCUGGAUGCGAACUAUGGAUGGGGCCUAAACCAAAGAACUAUAUAUUUUACAAUAUUCGCACAUGUCGCUGAUCAGUUGUCUAAAUAAAUGUUCAUUGUUACGUAAUCUUGCCCCCCGAGUCUUUCUGGUAGAGGUUACACUACUAACUAAUUUGUCUGAGUUCAGAUUAGUUAGUAGUCAUGGUAACAGUCAUUCUGGAGUCACAAUGGAAUUGGAAUGAGCAUAAACUUUAGAAGGUCUUGCAGUAUGUGGUCCACAUUCAGGUCCAAAAGGCUUACUCUAGUCCGAAGUGUUUCAUGUGAGAUGUGUAAAUAUUGUUUUUUAUUUAUUUUUGUUUAUUCAGAAUGGGCAAAUCCAACAGCGCUUGGAGACUGUCCAGAGAGACUUUAUUGUCUUCAACAGAGAAAAGUUGAGGAAAACCAAAGAGACGAUCAAGAAUAAUGUUGAAGUGACACACAAAGCCAUUGAAGAUGGACAGAACAACAAUGAUA